rnacentral:rRNA from 1 species
AAACUGUGGAAGUACCAUACGAGUACAACCGCGUACUUUUUGUAGAACGGUCCGGCGAGUUACGUUUACUGGCGAGGUUAAGCACUUAAGGUGCGGAGCCGAAGGGAUACCAAGUCUUAACAGGGCGUAAAGUCAGUGUACGUAGACCCGAAACCGGGUGAUCUACCCAUGUCCAGGCUGAAGUUGCCGUAAAAGGCAAUGGAGGGCCGAACGCACAUCCGUUGAAAAGGGUGGCGAUGAGGUGUGGGUAGGGGAGAAAUUCCAAUCGAACCCGGAGAUAGCUGGUUCUCCUCGAAAUAGCUUUAGGGCUAGCCUCGUGUUAACCUUGUGGAGGUAGAGCACUGAAUAUCCUAGGGGGCGUCAAAGUCUACCGAAGAUUAUCAAACUCCGAAUGCCAUAAAGGUGAUGCACGGGAGUCAGACUGCACGAGAUAAGUUGGGUGGUCAAAAGGGAAAGAGCCCAGACCUACAGCUAAGGUCCCAAAGUGCGUGUUAAGUGGAAAAGGAUGUGGGAUUUCGAAGACAACUAGGAUGUUGGCUCAGAAGCAGCCAUACAUUCAAAGAGUGCGUAAUAGCUCACUAGUCGAGAGGUCCUGCGCCGAAAAUGUCCGGGGCUGAAACACGACACCGAAGCUUAGGACUCCUUUUAGGAGUGGUAGAGGAGCAUUGUUAGCGCAGCGAAGCUGUACCGAUAAGGAGCAGUGGAGUGCUAAGAAGAGAGAAUGCCGGAAUGAGUAGCGAGAGGAAGGUGAGAAUCCUUCCGGCCGAAUAUCCAAGGUUUCCAGAGUAAAGCUGAUCUGCUCUGGGUAAGUCGGGGCCUAAGGCGAGGUCGAAAGACGUAGUCGAUGGAUAACAGGUGGAGAUUCCUGUACUAUGUGUACCCAGAAAUGUGGGGACGCAUGUGGAGAGCACGAGCCGGGAAAGAGAAGACCGGUACAAGCGGGGUAGGAGUAAGGACAGCAAAUCUUCCUUACAAUCCGAAGACGUAAUGUGGACCGAACCAAAGUAGGGAAGCGUGUGAGCCAUGUGCCAAGAAAAGCCGCUAUUGUGAUACACAUACCCGUACCGUAAACCGACACAGGUGGAUGAGGAGAGAAUCCUAAGGCCGACGGAAGAAGCAUUGUUAAGGAACUCGGCAAAAUGACCCCGUAACUUCGGGAGAAGGGGUGCCCUGUGAAAGCAGGGCCGCAGAGAAUAGGCUCAAGCAACUGUUUAGCAAAAACACAGGUCUAUGCGAAACCGAAAGGUGAGGUAUAUGGGCUGACGCCUGCCCGGUGCUGGAAGGUUAAGAGGAGAAGUCAGGCAACGAAGCUUCGAAUUUAAGCCCCAGUAAACGGCGGCCGUAACUAUAACGGUCCUAAGGUAGCGAAAUUCCUUGUCGGGUAAGUUCCGACCCGCACGAAAGGCGUAAUGAUUUGAGCACUGUCUCGACAAUGCAUCCG